rnacentral:rRNA from 1 species
CCUACGGGAGGCAGCAGUAGGGAAUCUUCCACAAUGGACGAAAGCCUGAUGGAGCCACGCCGCGUGAGUGAAGAAGGGUUUCGGGUUGUAAAGCACUGUUGGUAGGGAAGAAAGAUAGAGGGAGUAACUGGCCUUUAAUUGACGGUAAUUACUUAGAAAGUCACGGCUAACUACGUGCCAGCAGCCGCGGUAAUACGUAGGGUGCAAGCGUUAUCCGGAUUUAUUGGGCGUAAAGCGCGUGCAGGCGGUUCAAUAAGUCUGAUGUGAAAGCCUUCGGCUCAACCGGAGAAUUGCAUCAGAAACUGGUGAACUUGAGUGCAGGAGAGGAGAGUGGAAUUCCAUGUGUAGCGGUGAAAUGCGUAGAUAUAUGGAAGAACACCAGUGGCGAAGGCGGCUCUCUGGUCAGCAACUGACGCUGAGGCUCGAAAGCGUGGGUAGCGAACAGGAUUAGAUACCCCAGUAGUC